GCAGUACUGGGUCUGUGCCCAGGAUCUGAACUGGCAAAACCCUAGACCACUGAAGCAGAAUGUGAAAUUAGCCAGUUGGCCACGGGGCUGACCCUUUAGAAUCUUCUUUAUAGAGAGAGUUGGCCUUUGAAAAUCACAGUUAAAACUUUGUAUUGUUUUGAAAAUUUUCUCUUUCUAAUUCUAUUUUAAUAGAAUAAUGUAGUAGAUAAUUUAGAAUAACAGAUUUUUUUCUCCUUUUUAACCAUAAAACAAUUCAUUUGCUAUGAAAAUGAAAUGACAAGGCAAAUGAAGAAGUGAGAUGGUACACGUGACACCCAGUUAAGCACAUGGAAGUGAUCAAACUUACAUUUUAUGAGUGUGAGAAUGAUGAAAGACAUUUGAUUAUGACCAGAGAGUAAUGGGCACAUGCAUAUUGGGAUUCCAGGGCUUAAAUAUAUGGAAGCUAUUUAAAGUGGAGGAAGGAGAAGCUGACCAGUAACUAACCACGUAAAGCUAGGAUCAUUGAACAUGUUAUACUUUCAGUAAAAAAGAGCUAGAAAGUAUCUGCCUGUUGCCAAAAUGAGACUAAAAGAAUCCCCAUCUUUCUCUGUUGUGCUCUGGGUGGAAAACUUUGUCAUCAUCAUCAUCAUUUAUCAACAAGCUCCAAAUUUUGUCACUGUAAGCCUGCUCCCAGAUGGAUGAGAAAUUCUAAUUUAUAUUACCCGCCCCACCACCACCCCUUGGGGAAUCCCAAACCAAGAAAUAAUAUUAAAGAAUUUCUAGUUUGCAGUGUCCCUUGAUGCUAGGAAGAAACAAAGGUAAAACUUCCCUGAGGAAAGCAUACUCAACUGAGGUCCCCUGUAAUUGUCACAAGUUAAAUUCUCAGCAGUCAAUAUUUGUUCAAUUACAUAUGAACAAAAAAAAAUUAUAUAUAAAACGAAAAAUAAUAGGCCACCAUGAGAGAAAAUCAAUAGAAAAAAGAAGAAAUUUAAGCCAUCCAUAGGAGAAAAUAGCAUUAUCAGAUAAAGAAAAUAAAGUAGAUCUAUAUCAAGCAGUUUAAAGAGAUAAAAGGUGAAGUCAAUAAGCAGAGUAAAGGGACAACCAAAAUGACCAGGCACAAUAGAAAAUUAGUCAAAGAGAACUUCUAAGGGAAGAAAAAAAUCUUGUGAAGAAUGAGAGAAAGGACAAAUGAUACACAGCUGAAGAGACGAUCAAUAACCUGGAAAUUGAGGCUGAAAAAAGUUCCCAGAAUUCAGCAUAGAAAGGUAAAGAAACAGGAAACAUGGAAGAAUGUUGAGACGUGGAACAUAGAAUGACAAGUUCUACUUCAAUAUUGUGAUGUAAUAAUUAUAUAUUUGGUCUUCGUGCCUCAUUCCUGGCAGAGAGUUCCUAAAAGUUUUGAAAUUCCCUGAGUGAUAGGGGUGAUAGGAACAUCUUUUGUUAUAGUAUUUGGUCUCUGUCUCUCUGGUACCCGACAAAAGAGCCUCUAAAACCCUUAGAAUCUUUGAAUGAUGAGUCUUUUUGUAUGCCAACGAGAGGACUGGUGUCUGGGGGCCCCUAGAUAGCUUCAAGAUAGGAGCUGGUCACAGAAAGACCAACCAUGUUAUCAGAAAUUAGAACUUUCAGCCCUAACCCUGACCUCCAGGGAGGGGAGAAAGGCUGGAGACUGAGUUAAUCACCAAUAGCCAAUGAUUUAAUGAAUCAGGCCGAAGAGAUGAAAGCUCCAUAAAAACACUGAACUAUGGAGUCUGGAGAGCCUUCAGGAAGAAAAAAAUGAUCCUACAAAGAACACCUGUAGUCAGAAACAAAUGGUGAAAGCGGACAUGGAUUCAAAGAUAAUUUUCCAGUUUGGCAUGUGCAUAGUUUGGCUACAUUUGAAUAUGUGCAUAAGAAAAUAUGUUUACUGGACAGAUGAAUCUCGGUUUCUGCCGUAUCGUCAUCCCUGUAUGAGAAACCUGCUCCAUCCCUACCACUGGCUGAGGAGAGCCCCAGAGUGGCCCUACUUCAUAAUCAACCCCAAGAGCUACGCGUAGUAGGUCUGCUGUGGGCUCCUGACACAACGACAGGUAACAGAGACUGACCAGGGCUCCUCUAUAAGCUGUCUGGUAUUUAAAAAUCUACCCACACGAGGAUGAUGACAAUUGGGUUGGCCAAUGAGAUAUUUUUCUCAGGAAUUUGAACUGGUCCCAGUCUAUUAGCAGCUGGAAAAGUGAGAAGACCUACAAAUUGAAGCAGAGAAAGCUCAAGAAUUAUGCCUAUUUUUUCCUCAACUUUGAGGGUAUGAUUUGAAAAUGUCUCUCAAAACCACUGAAACGAUUACCAGUGGAUCAAAUCCAUUAAUUUAUUUUAAAAUUUUAAAAAUAUCUUUUCAUUUGAAACCAUCCUAGAAUAUUGCUCUUGUAGUCAGGAUUUUAAAAACACCUUAUGAUUGGCUCACAAUAGCCACGGUUCAAUUUAAAUUGCUCUAAUUGAUUGACAUGAGAUCUUAAUUCCAUAUUUGAAUCCAUCAUACUCUCUCAAUUACGCAUCUGGAUGGUGCAUAACACUAUAGCAUUUUGUAUCAUAUGUGUAAAAUUCAUGAUUACAAACUACGUGUAUGUACAGGUAUUAGGCACAGCUUGCAUAUCUUUAAGUAUCUGACAUAAAAUGUAUACACGUGCAUACACACACACACACACACAAGGAAUGAUGGCUGUUUCUGCAUUGCUUUUGGUUGUUCCCUGUCUUCAUGGCAUGUCCAUAUUCUCGGUACAUUGCAGGAUAUACUUCCUAUAUAUCUCACAUUCAAAUUUACUCCAGGUUGAGACAUCAUUAUCGUUCGAAUGAGAUAAAUUUUACUAAGGUAUAUACCUCUUUUUCUCUGAAAAGUUUGCCUAUUCACCUAAGUAUGUACAACAAAGAGCUAUGUGGAAGCCAUGGGAUUCCAGCCUAGCCUGCCAGAUCUGCUUACUCAACUCUGGAACGAAAUGGAGUGACAGUUGUCCAAGCUGGAUCACACUUAUAUUCUCAUCGAGUCAGUUAAUCUUGUUCAACCGUUAUUAUGAAGAGUGAAAAGGAUCCUACCUUCUGGCAGCUAGCAGUGUGGUUUGGAAAACAAAAACAUAUAUAAAGAGAUAUAAUCCCAUACAGGCCACAAUGAGAAUUAAAGUAGAAUUACAAAUUACAAAGGCAGAAGAAGGGAAGAAAAGAUUGUUUUUGAUUGGCAAAGACUUGGAAGCCAUGCGACUUGAGUUUGACUUUAAAGGAUAUGGAAGAUUUCAUUGUUUUAAACUUUGCAAGCAGAUUGCGCAUUUUAUCACUGCUAAUAUGCACUAUUCCAGUUCUUACUUAACUCAUUUCUGGUUGGUCUCUCUCCUACGCCCAUCAUACAUUUAUAGAUAAUCCAAAAUUUUACAGCAUAUCCGUUUUGCCCCAUGUUUCUCCCAUUACACAAAAUCCUUCUUCAUUUGGUAACUAGUUUGUAAAUUCUGAAAAGAGCGUUAAGAUAUUUAUAACCUUCUUCCUUCGUAUUUCCUAUCACUCACUUCAAGAUUUUGGUAAAAAAUAUUAUUCUAAUUUCCCCUAAUGUACUAUUAAUAAAAUGCCCCAUAUACUAAGCAAUU